rnacentral:tRNA from 1 species
UGGGGUAGAGCUCAGUGGUAGAGCUAAUGCUUAGCAUGCAUGAGGCCCUAGGUUCAAUCCCCCAGUACUUCUA